GACGAACGCUGGCGGCGUGCCUAAUACAUGCAAGUAGAACGCUGAAGGAGGAGCUUGCUUCUCUGGAUGAGUUGCGAACGGGUGAGUAACGCGUAGGUAACCUGCCUGGUAGCGGGGGAUAACUAUUGGAAACGAUAGCUAAUACCGCAUAAGAGUAGAUGUUGCAUGACAUUUGCUUAAAAGGUGCAAUUGCAUCACUACCAGAUGGACCUGCGUUGUAUUAGCUAGUUGGUGGGGUAACGGCUCACCAAGGCGACGAUACAUAGCCGACCUGAGAGGGGGAUCGGCCACACUGGGACUGAGACACGGCCCAGACUCCUACGGGAGGCAGCAGUAGGGAAUCUUCGGCGAUGGACGGAAGUCUGACCGAGCAACGCCGCGUGAGUGAAGAAGGGUUUCGGAUCGUAAAGCUCUGUUGUAAGAGAAGAACGAGUGUGAGAGUGGAAAGUUCACACUGUGACGGUAUCUUACCAGAAAGGGACGGCUAACUACGUG
rnacentral:rRNA from 1 species